rnacentral:rRNA from 1 species
AACGAACGCUGGCGGCGCGCCUAAUACAUGCAAGUCGAGCGAGAAGGUGUAGCAAUACACUUGUAAAGCGGCGAACGGGUGAGGAAUGCAUGGGUAACCUACCCUCGAGUGGGGAAUAACUAGCCGAAAGGUUAGCUAAUACCGCAUACGUUUCCGGAACUUCGGUUUCGGAAAGAAAGCAAUACCGUGGGUAUUGCGCUCCUGGAUGGGCUCAUGUCCUAUCAGCUUGUUGGUGAGGUAACGGCUCACCAAGGCUUCGACGGGUAGCUGGUCUGAGAGGACGAUCAGCCACACUGGCACUGCGACACGGGCCAGACUCCUACGGGAGGCAGCAGCAAGGAAUAUUGCGCAAUGGACGAAAGUCUGACGCAGCGACGCCGCGUGGGGGAGUGAAGGUCUUCGGAUUGUAAACCCCUUUCGGGAGGGAAGAUGGAGUGGGUAACCACUUGACGGUACCUCCACGAAGCAGCCACGGCUAACUUCGUGCCAGCAGCCGCGGUAAU